AUUGAACGCUGGCGGCAGGCCUAACACAUGCAAGUCGAACGAGUGGCGGACGGGUGAGUAAUGUCUGGGACACUGCCUGAUGGAGGGGGAUCACUACUGGACACGGUUGCUAAUACCGCAUACCAUCAGAUGUGCCCAGAUGGGAUUAGCUUGUUGGUGGGGUAACGGCUCACCAAGGCGACGAUCCUUAGCUGGUCUGAGAGGAUGACCAGCCAAACUGGAACUGUGACACGGUCCAGACUCCUAGGGGGGGCAGCAGGGGGGAAUAUUGCACAAUGGGCGCAAGCCUGAUGCAGCCCUGCCGCGUGUAUGAAGAAGGCCUUCGGGUUGUAAAGUACUUUCAGCGGGGAGGCGUUACCCGCAGAAGAAGCACCGGCUAACUCCGUGCCAGCAGCCGCGUAAUUC
rnacentral:rRNA from 1 species